UUCUUUUGUUACCAAACUUUGCAGAACAAAUGAACAAUAGACUUCCUGACCACCACGGGCAAAGCUAGAGCAACUCAUGAUGCAGCCUGACUUAUGGUACACUGUUGAUUGGUUCGAAAUUUGCUAGAGCUUACUAGAGCCAACCGGAGAAAGGUAUCUUGAUAUCUAUGGGGCCGAGACAUGAUAUUUGAGCAGGGUAACCCUGCAGCUGAAGCGAACAAACAUCCUAGUGUUGGGAGCAAGACCGACUGAGUGAUCAGAAGUGUAGUUUGGAAACGCCGGGAUCCCAUUCGCAUGCGCAUCUGAAGUUUUGAACUGUGAAGUGGUCAUACUGAUAACUGUUCUUCCAUACUUACAAUGGGAGAAAGAGAGAGCUCCUCCUCGCUAGUGGUGGAUGUGCAAAUGUGGAGUGAGAGCGACAGCAGCCAAGAGGGACUUGGACUACAAUGAUUUCUGCUCUCGUGGGUCUGACCGGCCCUUGACGUACCACUCUGCUCUUGUGGAAUCUCGCCAUUAAUACCUAGUCUCUCUUGUAUAUGCCCCUCUUUCUUAACAUUGGUCAAGCUGGAAGAUGGUA